GUAGUCGUGGCCGAGUGGUUAAGGCGACAGACUUGAAAUCUGUUGGGAUAUUCCCGCGCAGGUUCAAAUCCUGCCGAUUACG
rnacentral:tRNA from 1 species